AUUGAACGCUGGCGGCAGGCCUAACACAUGCAAGUCGAGCGAGCGGCGGACGGGUGAGUAAUGUCUGGGAAACUGCCUGUUGGAGGGGGAUAACUACUGGAAACGGUAGCUAAUACCGCAUACCCUCAGAUGUGCCCAGAUGGGAUUAGCUCUUGGGUGGGGGAACGGCUCACCUAGGCGACGAUCCCUAGCUGGUCUGUGAGGAUGACCAGCCACACUGGAACUGAGACACGGUCCAGACUCCUACGGGAGGCAGCAGUGGGGAAUAUUGCACAAGGGGCGCAAGCCUGAUGCAGCCAUGCCGCGUGUGUGAAGAAGGCCUUCGGGUUGUAAAGCACUUUCAGCGGGGAGGCGUUACCCGCAGAAGAAGCACCGGCUAACUCCGUGCCAGCCGCCGCGGUAAUAC
rnacentral:rRNA from 1 species